rnacentral:rRNA from 1 species
GACGAACGCUGGCGGCGUGCUUAACACAUGCAAGUCGAACGGAAAGGCCCUGCUUUUGUGGGGUGCUCGAGUGGCGAACGGGUGAGUAACACGUGAGUAACCUGCCCUUGACUUUGGGAUAACUUCAGGAAACUGGGGCUAAUACCGGAUAGGAGCUCCUGCUGCAUGGUGGGGGUUGGAAAGUUUCGGCGGUUGGGGAUGGACUCGCGGCUUAUCAGCUUGUUGGUGGGGUAGUGGCUUACCAAGGCUUUGACGGGUAGCCGGCCUGAGAGGGUGACCGGCCACAGUGGGGCGGAGAGACGCCCCGGACUCCUGCGGGAGGCAGAAGGGGGGAAUUUUGCACAAGGGGGGGAAGCCUGAUGCAGCAACGCCGGGGGGGGGAGGAGGGCUUUCGGGUUGAAACCCGCUUUCGCCGGGGACGAAGGGGGGGGAAGGGUAGUGGGAAAAGAAGCACGGGCAAACUAGGGG